rnacentral:lncRNA from 1 species
UUGUUUUUUUUAAUGACUUGAAAAAUAAAAGGCAAGAAACAAAACACUGUAGUUUUGUGUUUAAAAUAUAUUUCCGUGGUUCUUUUACAAAAUGUUGGUUUUGUCAGGUUUUGAAUUGUUUGCAUGUCAUUUGAGCCGCCAAGACCAUCACUGCACUUGAAACCCUGUCAAAAGAUAUUGGGCAAUGGGAUAGAACUCCAUUGAAAGGCUUCCUGAUUCCUGUUUUGAAGUGGUGGUUCCUCUACAUAUUACCCUAUGCAGAAAAUAACAGCAAAGGUUUCAGCGGAUAUUUUCUGAUCAUCGUGUUUUUAAAUUAUAUAUACAAGUGUUCGCCUUCGCCCGUCACCCUGUUGGCAUUAUUUAUUAGAGUUUGCUCACCAGGGGCCCAGGGGGUCACUCUCACGAAUGUAGGCUACUACCCCUCGUGAUGGAAAAAUUGAAGAGCUAUUCUUGGAUGCAACGAAUUAAAUUCUCCCUUAAAUUCGCUUUUCCGGAUUGUCGCCUGCGGAGCAACUCUCACAUUCAUGACUCCCGCCGCUUGCGCCCUCUUCCCCCAACGAUGCUCUUUGGACGUCUCAACGCUGACCCGUUUCGAGCCGGAACAAUACGACAAAAUCGAAAAGACUGUUGGCGAAUCAAUCUCUAAAGUCUAUUUCAAUAAGGGUUUGUGAUCAGCUUGAAAGUAGUAACGGCUUGUAGUUUGGGUGCUAAUCAGUAAUAUCACAUCAAUUAUCUGAUCGACA